rnacentral:tRNA from 1 species
GAGACACUAGUAAAACACGCUAUUACACUGCCUUGUCAAGGCAAAGUUGUGGGUUAAACCCCCACGUGCCUCG